UCCCCUAGUAACGGCGAGUGAAGCGGGAUGAGCUCAAGCUUAAAAUCUCCGUGCAAUUUUUGCAUGGCGAAUUGUAGUCUAUAGAGGCGUGGUCAGUAUGAGCACUUGGAGAAAGUUCCUUGGAAUAGGACAGCAUGGAGGGUGAUACUCCCGUUCAUCUCUUAGCUGCUUGUGCGUACGACCCGUUUUCUUUGAGUCGCGUUGUUUGAGAAUGCAGCGCAAAGUAGGUGGUAAAUUCCAUCUAAAGCUAAAUAUUGGUGCGAGACCGAUAGCAAACAAGUACCGUGAGGGAAAGAUGAAAAGAACUUUGAAAAUAGAGUUAAAGAGUACCUGAAACUGCUGAAAGGGAACCAAAUCGUUUCCAGUGUCUAUAAUCCGUUGUAUAUUUCAUUGGCGAGUGUAUGCGUGCGUGUGCUGUUGCAGUGGCCUUUUGGUUGCGCUCGGCGCGUGUGUUGUGUGUGCUUGUUGGUGCCCUGUGCUGCGGUGGGACGUCAAGGUCAGUUCGUAUGCUGCGGGAAAUGGCUACCGAGGAGGUAGGGCUCACGCUUGCGUUUGUCUGUUAUAUCUUGGUAGACGAGUAGUCGCGGUUGGGACUGAGGUGCCUACAACGUGCUUUUGAGUGGGCUUGGGUCUCCGUGUGCGCCGUGUGCGGAUAGCUUGCUAUGCGUGYGUGGUUGUGUGUGGAUUGAUGCGAGCCGUAACUUGUAGUCGUUCGGGACGUUGACGAAAUGGAGCGAUUUGACCCGUCUUGAAACACGGACCAAGGAGUCUAACAUAUGUGCAAGUGUUAGGGUGUGGAAACCCCAGCGCGUAAUGAAAGUAAAGGACAACGUAAGUUGUCUUAGGUAGGAAAUGCUGUGAGCUUCGGCCUGCGGUGUGGCACUAUCGACCGAUCAUGAACCCUCGUGGUGAAAGAUUUGAGUUUGAGCACAUAUGUUGGUACCCGAAAGAUGGUGAACUAUGCCUGAGUAGGGUGAAGCCAGGGGAAACUCUGGUGGAAGCUCGUAGCGAUUCUGACGUGCUAAAUCGAUCGUCGAACUUGGGUAUAGGGGCGAAAGACUAAUCGAACCAUCUAGUAGCUGGUUCCCUCCGAAAUUUCCCUCUAGGAUAGCUAGCAACUUAUUUACGGAUAGUUUUAUGAGGUAAAGCGAAUGAUUAGAGGAUUCGGGGAAGAAACUUCCUCGACCUAUUCUCUAAACUUUAAAUCUGUAAGACCUGCUAGGUUUCUUAAUUGAACUUGUGGAUGUGAAUAUCCAAGUUGCUAGUGG
rnacentral:rRNA from 1 species